rnacentral:rRNA from 1 species
AACACAGGUGCUGCAUGGCUGUCGUCAGCUCGUGUCGUGAGAUGUUGGGUUAAGUCCCGCAACGAGCGCAACCCUUGCCAUUAGUUGCUACGAAAGGGCACUCUAAUGGGACUGCCGGUGACAAACCGGAGGAAGGGGGGGAUGACGUCAAGUCCUCAUGGCCCUUAUAGGUGGGGCUUCACACGUCAUACAAUGGCUGGUACAGAGGGUUGCCAACCCGCGAGGGGGAGCUAAUCCCAUAAAGCCAGUCGUAGUCCGGAUCGCAGUCUGCAACUCGACUGCGUGAAGUCGGAAUCGCUA